UUUAAUUUAACAAUAUAAAUAGUAGAUAUAAAUAAAAUUAUUACUAUUUAUGUUUAGUGAUUUUUUUUUGGAUAAUUUUGAAUUUUUAUUUGAGAGUAAAGGGUGAGAAGUAAAAGUUUAGGGGGAAAAUAAAAAGUUUUGGGGAAUAAAAGUUUGAGGGAAAGUAAAUAGGGGGAGUAAAAUUUUGGAGGGAAAAUAUUAAAAAAAAAUGGAGGGGGGAGGGUUUGGGGUAGAUGGGAGGUGGGAUGAGAAGAGAAUAAAAGUUUUAGGGGAAAAGUGGGAGGGAGUAAAAAUUUUGGGGGAAAAUAAAAGGUUUUGAGGGUUUUGGGGAGUAAAAUUUUGAGAAAAAGUAAAUGGAAGAGUAAAAUUUUGGUGAGAAAUGGAUUUUGGGUAGAUUGGGGGGUUGGGAGGGGAGGGGAGUAAAAGUUUUGGG
rnacentral:lncRNA from 1 species